rnacentral:snoRNA from 1 species
UGCUCAAUGUUCAACCAUGGUAAUAUAUGCUAUUCUGAUCUACACAAGGAUGUCAUCAAUAUUUCUGAGAGCG